AUGGCUGAGCAGUGGAAACAAACUGCCACCAACUCAACCUCACCCUCUGAGGGUCCUAGGCCAGCCUCCACACCGCCAGAGCUGAGAGAAGAGUGUCACAUGGAGCUAACCAUAGAGGAGCCUGCCGCAGGAAGCACCAAUACAGAGAUUCUUCAAGCUAGAAAGGUAAAUCUUCAGCAUCUGCGAGAAGAGAGCGCGUCUGUUCUCUCGCGCAUGGGUUGUGCGUGUGUGCGGCGAGCUCCGGAGGAGGAGGGAUGCUCUGUGAUCUCAGCGGCAGCAGUCUGAGCCCCAGCCAUGCGGUUGAGCAGCGGAUAGCGCUAACAAGCGCCGGGCUGUAGGACUACAGCAAGACCAUGUCUGCGCAGAGAGAGGACUCACGCCUCUGUCAGCGUUAACUCCAGCCGUGCCUUCGUUCCUCUCUCUUUUUCAAUCUCUCUUUCUUCUUUCACCUCUCUCUAUUUGUUAACGUGGUGCUGAUGAAGGGGAAACUAGCUUGAGCUGUUUGGCUCAGGAUGGAUUGUCUGUGUAUUGUCACAACUAAGGUAAGGAGAGCUGAAAGCGAUGAGAAUUGAAUGAAAAUGAAAGGGAAGAAGCUUUUGUCGUUCCAGCUGUGAGUAUGUGUCGGCUGUGGAGAAAUGAGGGUGUUAUUUGUUUCAUAUUUCUUUGGUGUUUCUUUCAAAAUGGACUUUUUAAUGUCUUUGUGGAACAGUGUGUUCAUUGGUUUAAGUGUUGCGCUAGAGUGUUGUAUUGUAUCAGGCUUAAUCCCAUGUCGCCGGCUCUGUGGAGCCAUCAAGGCGUAAACUUGACAGAAACUUGCAUCCACAGAUAACAAGCCUUUCCGAGGCUUCUUCGCUGGAGCCAGACAUAGUGCUGGUGGAAUAAAUUUUUGAUGGUCAGACCAUCAACAAACAGUCCAAGGCUUUAUUGGAUUUUCCUGCCUUCGUUGGUGCAGGUAUCCGGAUGGGAAGCCCUUUGAGUGGCAUUAGAGGAUUGAGAGUGCCAGUCUGCCAGCAGUACUUGGGCUAAUGUGGUUUAUUUCACUGAAGCAGAGCUGCUCUGUUUACAUGCUUCUAAAUAUACAAUAUGAGUGAAUUGAUCUUUUUUUCAGUUUAAUCUUCUCUGUAGGCUUGUCAAAGAGGGAGGACUUGUGCCUAAUAUGUAGAAAGCUAUCUCUCUCAUUCACAAUCAGUGAUGCAGCUGCAAUUCACCAUCCUGUGAACUGAAAUAUUAAUGUUUGUAUUUACGUGCUUUGUUGAAUCAAUACUAGAAGUGCCAUUGUGACGGUAAUGCGGGCAGCUUGGCUCUGUGCUGUGAAUUCCAAAUGUGGUCCUACUACAGCUGAAUGGCAAGAACCGUAAUUUUUGAACGGUCAGGUGUAUUUUGUCUUUAUAAAACCCCUAAAAAUGACAGAUUAAUGUUAGCCAUCUUAAAUAGUUUUUCCAUACCCUUGGAAAAAGGUGGUACUGUGGUUGUAAUACCAUGGCAAUUAAAUAUGUUUAAAAGAUAGUAUUAUUCAACAUUAAACACCAUUAUUCAACAUUGAUUUUGGUCAAAAAGACGGUAAGGAUUUUAGACUGUUACAAAAAAAUAUUAUUUAAAAACAGUGAAUUCUGUUCUUUUGAACUUUGUUCAGCAAAGAAUCCUGAAAAAAGGCUUACACAAAAAUAUUAAGCAGCACAACUGUUUUUAACAUGAAUAAUAAUAAGAACUAUUUCUUGAGCACCAAAUCAGCAUAUUAGAAUGAUCUCUGAAGGUUUUAUUUAGGUUUUAAUAUGAAUAAUAUUA
rnacentral:lncRNA from 1 species